rnacentral:rRNA from 1 species
CAUGCAGUCGAGGGGUAGAAGCAGCUUGCUGCUUUGAGACCGGCGCACGGGUGCGUAACGCGUAUGCAAUCUACCUUUUACAGAGGGAUAGCCCAGAGAAAUUUGGAUUAAUACCUCAUAGUAUGUGAGAAUCGCAUGGUUUUCACAUUAAAGUUCCAACGGUAAAAGAUGAGCAUGCGUCCCAUUAGCUAGAUGGUAAGGUAACUGCUUACCAUGGCGACGAUGGGUAGGGGUCCUGAGAGGGAGAUCCCCCACACUGGUACUGAGACACGGACCAGACUCCUACGGGAGGCAGCAGUGAGGAAUAUUGGACAAUGGGCGCAAGCCUGAUCCAGCCAUGCCGCGUGCAGGAUGACGGUCCUAUGGAUUGUAAACUGCUUUUGUACAGGAAGAAACACUCCCUCGUGAGGGAGCUUGACGGUACUGUAAGAAUAAGGAUCGGCUAACUCCGUGCCAGCAGCCGCGGUAAUACGGAGGAUCCAAGCGUUAUCCGGAAUCAUUGGGUUUAAAGGGUCCGUAGGCGGUUUAAUAAGUCAGUGGUGAAAGCCCAUCGCUCAACGGUGGAACGGCCAUUGAUACUGUUAAACUUGAAUUAUUAGGAAGUAACUAGAAUAUGUAGUGUAGCGGUGAAAUGCUUAGAGAUUACAUGGAAUACCAAUUGCGAAGGCAGGUUACUACUAAUGGAUUGACGCUGAUGGACGAAAGCGUGGGUAGCGAACAGGAUUAGAUACCCUGGUAGUCCACGCCGUAAACGAUGGAUACUAGCUGUUGGGCGCAAGUUCAGUGGCUAAGCGAAAGUGAUAAGUAUCCCACCUGGGGAGUACGUUCGCAAGAAUGAAACUCAAAGGAAUUGACGGGGGCCCGCACAAGCGGUGGAGCAUGUGGUUUAAUUCGAUGAUACGCGAGGAGCCUUACCAGGCUUAAAUGUAGUUUGACCGAUUU